AUGGCGGAGGCCGCAAGUGCGGCGCCUCUACUCCGCGGCCUCCCAGAUGAGGUCGUCAUCUGGGAGAUCCUGCCCCGCCUUCCCCCAAAAUCCAUUCUCCGCUGCCGCGCCGUCUGCCCUGCGUGGCGCCGCGCCACCUCCGCCCGCGACUUCCUCCUCGCCCACCACGCCCGGCAGCCCGCGCUCCCCAUCCUCGACGGCUUGAACACCGUCGGCAAGGGCAUAGACAUCAUCACCUUCGACCACCGGUCAGCCGACCAGCUUCAGCUGCAGUCCGUCGCGCGACUUGGCGCCACCCACCACUUCGGUCUGGAGGCCUCGUGCGACGGCCUCCUCGUCCUCUCCAUCCACGACAUGAGCUUGGGUUUCGCUAUCUGCAACCCUGCAACUCGUCAGUAUGCUCCUCUUCACCUGCUCUAUGGCUCCAGGCUAUUGGGGAUGUACCCGCAUAGCCCUACCGGUGAGUACCGAUUAUUGCUGUACUUGUCCUCCAAGAUCAUGCAUGAUGAAGGUGAAGGUGCCUCCUACAUCUUCACGAUAGGCUCUGGCCAUCAACCGAGGAACAUAGGGUGCCCAGAUGCCAAGGCACUGAUAUUCACCCUGUCCACCCUGUUCCGUGGUAGCUUGCAUUGGCACAUGAAGCAGCAGGAGAGCGCAAGCAGCAGGAUAAUGGUUUUCGACACCACUGCUGAGUCUUUCCGGCAGAUGCGUGCUCCGGUUGUUCGUGGCUUUGGUAACCUGUUUGAGAUGGAUGGAAUGCUCGGCCUGUCCAUUAUUAAGGAUGAACAGACAAGCGUUGAUAUCUGGGUGAUGCAGGACUACGAAGGCCAGGUCUGGACCUUCAAAGCCCGGGUUGAAUUGCCGAUUGCAGAGAUCCGGGUGCAAUUUGGAAAGUUUGUCGAUUUUUGGGAUGUGGUGGCCGCGCCUUCUGAUGUUGAUGUGCAAGUGCUGGUCAAAACUGACGAGUGGCUGCUUCAGGUUGACACUGAUGGCAAGUUGGUUGCCAGUUUCCAUCGCAGAGGCCUCAAUCCUACUCAACGUCGGCUCAAACAGUCUCUAGUUUCACAUACCUUCUUUCCGACACAAGAGGGUUAUGUUGUGAAUGCGUCGCCUUUCAUCUGA
rnacentral:rRNA from 1 species